rnacentral:rRNA from 1 species
CAGCAGCCGCGGUAAUACGUAGGUCCCGAGCGUUGUCCGGAUUUAUUGGGCGUAAAGCGAGCGCAGGCGGUUAGAUAAGUCUGAAGUUAAAGGCUGUGGCUUAACCAUAGUACGCUUUGGAAACUGUUUAACUUGAGUGCAAGAGGGGAGAGUGGAAUUCCAUGUGUAGCGGUGAAAUGCGUAGAUAUAUGGAGGAACACCGGUGGCGAAAGCGGCUCUCUGGUUUGUAACUGACGCUGAGGCUCGAAAGCGUGGGGAGCAAACAGGAUUAGAUACCCCCGUAGUCCCUGUCUCUUAUACA